CUGGUUUAUUUUAUUUUAUUUUAUUAUUUUAUUAUUUUUUUUGUCUUUUGUCUUUUUAGGGCUGUACCCGUGGCAUAUGGAGAUUCCCAAGCUUGGCAUCUAAUCAAAGCUGCAGCUGCCAGCCUAUGCCACAACCACAGCAACGCCACAUCUAAGCCCCAUGUACAACCCACAACACAGAUGGUGGCACUGCCAGAUCCUUAACCCACUGAGCGAGGCCAGGGAUCAAACCCACAACCUCAUUGGGGCUGGUUUAUUUUACAUCCUCCACCCCUCCCCCCCACCCCAGUCCCUCAGUGGGCCUGUACUGGGUGAAGAGAGGCAAACAGGAGAGGGACAGCCACUGCCAUGGCUGGUCACAUGAUUUUAUGAGGCUUGUGAUCCCCUGGAAUAGACUCUAUGUACUGUUCUUAGCUCUGAUUCCUUUCACUUCCUUCCCUUGUUUUUUAUCUCUGCCUCAACUUUCUCAACUAUGUUUUUCCUCUUCCUGUUGAAGUUGAUAUAUCUCUGUGAGCUACCACAAAUCCCUCUUUUUUUGGAAUAAUGCACGGGAUAAAUAAAUAAUCUUUUAAAAAAAUAACACAAUCUCAUUUGAUGCUCAAAACAGUCCUUGAUGUUCUUUGGAGAACAUGUGGUUCGGGCAAAAUCAAAGAGCUUCUAAGUAUCUUCCAACUCCAAGUCCAAUGCACUUUCCACCAGGGAUGACUUGGUGAGCCCUUCCUGUGUGUUGGUGACACUAGGCGAGGCACUGGGGACAGAGGGUUGACUUAGUGCCGAGCACAUUUUCUCAGUCCUGUGAGGAAGGUGUUGCACCAGUGCUCAUCCAAAGGUGAGGAAUGCGAGGUUCAUGAAGCCUCCUGACUUGAGGAGGUCAUGCAACAGAGCAAGUAGCAGAAUCCCUGGGGGCUCGUUUGAUUGCCACUUAACAAAGAAGGGACCUCACUGGAUCCAUGAGGCUGCAGGUUGGAUCCCUGGCCUCGCUCUGUGGGUUAAGGAUCUGGCGUUGUUGUGAGCUGUGGUGUAGGUCGAAGAUGCGGCUAGGAUCUGGUGAGAUGCGGCUAGGAUCUGGUGUGGCUGUGGCUGUGGCUGUGGUGUAAGCCGGCUCUGAUUUGACCCCUAGCCUGGGAACUUCUAUUAGCCACAGGUGCAGUCCUAAAAAAAUAAAGGGGAGAAGACAUGAAAUACUGGAAGAGUGUUGAGUUUUUAGGUGGGUGUAGAGAGAAGGCCUCGUUAAUGAUGUGGUAUAUUUGAAUAAGGGAAGUGAAGGAGACGAGGAAAGAGAGGGAAGCUUCUAAAACAUCUCCAAAUCAGUGGGUCCAAAACCCAACCUGUGAUUUCCUCCUGAAAACAUAAUCCUUUUCCAGUAAUCUCAGUCUCAAGAAAUGACCCCUUCAUGUAUUGAGUUAGUCGCACCCUUGUCACCACGUCAGAUCUGUCACCAAGUUCUUUUGCUUCUGUCUCCUAAAUGCUUCUCCUGCGGCAAUGUGCAGUUCCACCAUCUCGGUGACUGCCACUGUGGUCCACGCCCCAUCGUCUUUUCACCUGGACUGAGGCCAUGGCCUUCUAACUGGUCUCCCUGCUUCCACUCUGGCCCCCAUCUAAUUUGUCCUCCCCAUAGUACCCAGAGCUACCUUUUCUGAACUCAAGUGUGAUAAUGUCAUCACUUGGCUUAAAGCUUACCAUGGCAUCACAUAGCGCUUAAGCUCUUACUGGUAGGAUAGAGGCCAAAUUCAUGACCUGUGUGGUCUGACACCAACCUCCUUCUCUUAGCUUUUUUUCGUACCAGUAUUGCCCCCGCUACCUGCCACCCCCCCAACACCACAGAAAAACACAAACAUCAGCCAUUCUAGCUUUAUUUCAGAAUCUUAAGCAAGUCAUGUUCUUGCCAUGAUAAGACCUUUUUACACACUGUUCCCCUUUCCUAGAAUGUCCUUCUUUACCCGUUCAAGCCAAUCUCUCUCAUUUAGUUGCCACCUCCUUCAGAGCCCAGCCUUCUCUGAUCUUCUUGAUCAGGUCACAUUCUCCUGUGACAGGCUGUCAUGACAUCACAGAUUUCCCCUUUUCAGCACUUUCACACGUGUAAUCUUAAACUGAUUUGUCUGCCUGUUUGAUUGCUGUCUACCUAUCCCACUGAAUUGUAACUCCAUGAGGACCGAGAUUCAUUUGCUCAUCAUUGGCUCCACAGUGCCUAUUGCAGUGCUUGACACUUAAGCAGGUGCUCAACAAAUGUUUGUUGUGAAUGAAAGAAUAAAUGAAUGAGAGUUCCUGUUGUGGCUCAGCGGGUUACAAACCCAACUAGUAUCCAUGAGGAUGUAGAUUCGAUCCCUGGCCUUGCUCAGUGGGCUAAGGAUCCAGCAUUGCCGUGAGCUUUGGUAUAAGUUGCAGAUGUGGCUUGGAUCCCACAUUGCUGUGGCUGUAACGUAGACCAGCAGCUUGAGCUCUAAUUCACCCUGUAGCCUGGGAACUUCUGUAUGCUGCAGCUGUGGCCCUAAAAAAAAAAAAAAAUUUCAAACCGUAAAGAUCUUUAUACAGUAAAAAGUAUAAUUCCCCUGGCCUUGGCCCUCCUGAGAAGUAUCACUGUUAACAUUUUGGUAUCUAUAUUUCCAAGCCUCAUUCUCUGCUUGUACUAUAUCCAUAUCGAAUAUCUGUGUGUCUGUGUUAUACACACAGACACACGGAUAAACAUAGUUUCAUUGGGCUUUGUUUUUUACAUUGAUGGCUCAUACUAGGCGCAUCCUUCUGAGAUUUGUUUUAUUAACUUAGCAUUUUGCUGUAUAGAUCUUUCCAUGUCAGUACAUCAGCCUGGCACACUCCUUUGCAUACAUGAAGAGAUGGUAAUAUGCUAAAUAAGUGAUGCAUAAAAUGCACAAGUGCCAUUAAGUAAUUACUGUGUUAUCAAAAGAGAGUCAGGAUGGAGUUGCCAUUGUGGCUCAGCAGGUUAAGAAUCUGACUAGUAUCCAUGAGGAUGUGGGUUUGAUCCCUGACCUCACUCAGUGGGUUAAGGAUCCAGCGGUUACCAUGAGCUGCAGUAUAGGCCAGCAGCUACAGCUCCAAUUUGACCCCUAGCCUGUGGGUGCGGCCCUAAU
rnacentral:lncRNA from 1 species